GGAGAGGUGCGUGAGUGGUUGAAACGAGCGGUUUCGAAAACCGCCAUGCCGCAAGGCAUCGGGAGUUCGAAUCUCCCCCUCUCCGCCA
rnacentral:tRNA from 1 species